rnacentral:rRNA from 1 species
AUCUUAGUACCUGCAGGAAAAGAAAAUAAAUAAUGAUUCCCCUAGUAGUGGCGAGCGAACGGGGAUUAGCCCAAACCACCCAUGUUACGGCAUGUGUGGGGUUGUAGGACCACGCUCUCGCAAGACAGUUAUUGAGAAGAAACGACUGGAAAGUCGUGCCAUAGACGGUGAUAGCCCGGUAUUCUAAGGUAACCGAAGCGUAGUGGUAUCCUGAGUAGCGCGGAGCACGAGGAAUUCUGCGUGAAUCAGCCGGGACCAUCCGGUAAGGCUAAAUACUCCCGAGAGACCGAUAGCGAACCAGUACUGUGAAGGAAAGGUGAAAAGCACUUCGAAUAGAAGAGUGAAAUAGUCCCUGAAACCAUGCGCCUACAAGCGGUCGGAGCAGCUUAAGUUGUGACGGCGUGCCUUUUGCAUAAUGAACCUACGAGUUACUUUUUCCGGCAAGGUUAAGCAUCUUGAGAUGUGGAUCCGAAGCGAAAGCGAGUCUGAACAGGGCGGAUAGUCGGAAGGAGUAGACGCGAAACCAAGUGAUCUACCCUUGGGCAGGUUGAAGGUUAGGUAACACUAACUGGAGGACCGAACCGAUAAGCGUUGAAAAGCUUCCGGAUGACCUGAGGGUGGGGGUGAAAGGCUAAUCAAACUUGGAGAUAGCUCGUACUCCCCGAAAUGCAUUUAGGUGCAGCCUUGAGAGUUACUAAUGUGAGGUAGAGCGACUGAUAAGAUGCGAGGGCUUCACCGCCUAUCAAGUCUUGAUAAACUCCGAAUGCGCAUUAGUUCUAUCUCAGGAGUGAGGGCAUGGGUGCUAAGGUCCAUGUCCUAAAGGAGAAGAAUCCAGACCAUCAGCUAAGGUCCCCAAAUAAACACUAAGUUGAACUAACGAAGUCAGAUUGCUAAGACAGCUAGGAUGUUGGCUUGGAAGCAGCCAUUCAUUUAAAGAGUGCGUAACAGCUCACUAGUCGAGGAGUUUGGCGUGGAUAAUAAUCGGGCAUAAGUGUUUUACCGAAGCUAUGGGAUACGUAAGUAUCGGUAGGGGAGCAUUCCACUCAGCGUUGAAGGCGAAGCGUGAGCUUUACUGGAGCGUGUGGAAAAGCAAAUGUAGGUAUAAGUAACGAUAAAGGGGGUGAGAAACCCCCUCGCCGCAAGACUAAGGUUUCCUGAUCAACGCUAAUCGGAUCAGGGUUAGUCGGGUCCUAAGGCUCAGCCGAACGGUGAGGCCGAUGGCAGAACAGGUUAAUAUUCCUGUACUACCUAUAGGAGUGAUGUGGAGACGGAGGAGUGACAACGCCGCGGACUGACGGAAUAGUCCGUUAAAGGGUGUAGAUGUUGAUUAUCCCAGGCAAAUCCGGGAUAAGAGUCGAACCUGACAGUAUACCAAUUUCCUCGGAAAACGGUAAUAGUGCGUGUAAACAUACUCCCAAGAAAAUCCGCUAAACUUAAUCUUAUAGGUACCCGUACCGUAAACGGACACACGUAGUCGGGUUGAAUAUACUCAGGCGCUUGAGUGAAUCACGGUUAAGGAACUAGGCAAAUUGACCCUGUAACUUCGGGAUAAAGGGUCCCUACCCGGUGACGGGAGGGCGCAGAGAAUAGGUCCAGGCAACUGUUUAACAAAAACACAGGGCUGUGCAAAAUUGAAAGAUCACGUAUACAGCCUGACACCUGCCCGGUGCUGGAAGGUUAAGAGGAGAUGUCAUCGCAAGAGAAGCAUUGAAUUGAAGCCCCAGUAAACGGCGGCCGUAACUAUAACGGUCCUAAGGUAGCGAAAUUCCUUGUCGGGUAAGUUCCGACCUGCACGAAUGGUGUAAUGAUCUGGACACUGUCUCAACCGUGAGCUCAGUGAAAUUGUAGUAUCGGUGAAGAUGCCGAUUACCCGCGAUGGGACGAAAAGACCCCGUGAACCUUUACUAUAGCUUAACAUUGAAUUUGGGUAAUUGAUGUGUAGGAUAGGCCGGAGACUUUGAAGCAGGCACGCCAGUGUUUGUGGAGUCGCUGUUGAAAUACGGCCCUUUGGUUAUUUGAGUUCUAACUCGCUGAUGCGAGGACACUGUUUGGUGGGUAGUUUGACUGGGGUGGUCGCCUCCAAAAGCGUAACGGAGGCUUCUAAAGGUGCCCUCACGCCGAUUGGUAAC